GACAGAGGGUGCAAACGUUGUUCGGAAUUACUGGGCGUAAAGCGAGUGUAGGCGGUCUGAAAAGUCGGGUGUGAAAGCCCCGGGCUCAACCCGGGAAGUGCACUCGAAACUGCCAGGCUAGAGUAUCGGAGAGGUUGGUGGAAUUCUCGGUGUAGAGGUGAAAUUCGUAGAUAUCGAGAGGAACACCGGUGGCGAAGGCGGCCAACUGGACGAAUACUGACGCUGAGACUCGAAAGCGUGGGGGAGCAAACGGG
rnacentral:rRNA from 1 species